rnacentral:rRNA from 1 species
UACGGAGGGUGCAAGCGUUAUCCGGAUUCACUGGGUUUAAAGGGUGCGUAGGUGGCUUUGUAAGUCAGUGGUGAAAUGUCGCGGCUCAACCGCGAAACUGCCAUUGAUACUGCUUAGCUUGAAUCACGUCGAGGUGGAUGGAAUAUUACAUGUAGCGGUGAAAUGCUUAGAUAUGUAAUAGAACACCGAUUGCGAAGGCAGUUCACUAGGCGUGUAUUGACACUGAGGCUCGAAAGCGUGGGGAUCAAACAGG